ACAAGAUCAGGUAUUAAUACAAACUGUUUACCAGCACCAUAAAUCUCAUUGAAAAUUCCAUUGGUGUUAUUUCUCUGAAUUUAUUGGAUUAAGUUUUAUGGCAAGCAUGAUCCUUAGAAUUCAAGGCUCAUAUAACAUAAACUAUUUUAGAAAACAGAGGAAAAACUGUGCAAGUGAGUGUCGGGUACAAUGCAGAGAUUAGGCUAAUUGAGGACCACAGCAUAUAUGAGGAUAUGUAUAGCCAAGCGCAGCGCAGUCUGUUUGAACUUGAGAUUCAG
rnacentral:misc_RNA from 1 species